rnacentral:rRNA from 1 species
UACGAAGGGUGCAAGCGUUACUCGGAAUUACUGGGCGUAAAGCGUGCGUAGGCGGUUUGUUAAGUCUGUCGUGAAAGCCCUGGGCUCAACCUGGGAAUGGCGAUGGAUACUGGCAAGCUAGAGUACAGUAGAGGAUGGUGGAAUUCCCGGUGUAGCGGUGAAAUGCGUAGAGAUCGGGAGGAACACCCGUGGCGAAGGCGGCCAUCUGGACCAGUACUGACGCUGAGGCACGAAAGCGUGGGGAGCAAACAG